AAAAUUAUUAUAAGAGCAUGAGAUAAGGUAAUGGAAGGGAGAAUACUAACAUAAGUAACAAAUAAAAAUAAACAUGAAGACGAAGUCGACGAAGUUCGAGAAGGUGCUAGAGGAAGAUAUGGAGUUAAUGGAGUUCGAGAAGGUGAAAUAGGAAGAAAUGGAGAGUUAGUGGAGUUCGAGAAGGUGAUAU